CAAUGUAUUCUUCCAAUUUUCAUGUCAAUGAAUGCAAGUGAAAAUGUGACUACUCUUUAUUAUUCACUAAACAGAUGUGCUAAUCAGCCCAUUAGGUGACGGAUUCAACACUUUUUUGCUUUGAAUGGAUGUUAAGAGAAUCAUUUACAGAAUGUGUUACAUUUAAAAUACUGUAAUAAUAAAGCACUUGUUUUCCUUCUAGAAUAUGGUAAUAAUCUGGAUCAAGACAUAUAUUCAGAGACCUCAGGCCAUUUCAGAGAUGCUUUAAUAAACUUAGUUCAGGGAAUGAGAGAGGAAGGAUACACUGAUCCUGGCAUCGCAAUGCAGGAUGCCAUGGUUCUAUGGGAAGCAUGUCAAAGGUGAACAGGAGAGCACAAAAACAUGUUGCAAAUGAUCCUCUGUAAUAAAAGCCACCAGCAAUUGUUCAUGUAUUUUGAACAAUUUCAAAAUAUUUCUGGACA